rnacentral:tRNA from 1 species
CUGGGCGUAGCUCAGUGGUAGAGCAUAUGCUUAACAUGCUUGAGCACUAGGGUUGAAUCCUAGUGCAUACA